CGUAAAGCGCAUGCAGGCGGCCUGUUAAGUCAGAUGUGAAAGGACCCGGGGACCGUUAACCUACGGUAAGUUGCUAUUUAGUAAACUGGCGAGGCUAGAGUCUUGUAGAGGGGGGUAGGAAUUUCAGGUGUAGCGGUGAAAUGCGUAGAGAUCUGAAGGAAUACCAGUGGCGAAGGCGGCCCCCUGGACAAAGACUGACGCUCAGAUGCGAAAGCGUGGGGAGCAAACAGGAUUAGAUACCCUGGUAG
rnacentral:rRNA from 1 species